rnacentral:tRNA from 1 species
AGGAAACUCCCAUAAUUGGUAAGAUGGGUUGAGCUGUAAACUCAAUAGCGCUAAGCUUUUAAGAGUUCGAAUCUCUUGUUUCCUAC